ACACAACUGGGACCGAGCAGUUCUCCCGGAUGGACCGGCUCACUUUUCUAUUUGCUCCUCAGCGUCGGAGGCUUUAGGGUUGGUCUGCAGGGUGUCGCCUUUGCCGGUCACAUGGAUGUCACACUUCAGUUUCAGACAUCUCUGUGAAAUUACCAAGGAGAUUGACCAAGGAGAAACAAUAAAAAGAAGUUAUGGACAAGAGAGAUAUUUAAUAUUAAGAAAAUGACUAAAUUUCAGAGUGGAAGAAAUUAUCUUCUUCAAGUAAGAAAGCUGAAGACUAAAGAACUUGAAAGCUUAGAAAAACACAGCCAUUUUACCUUCCAAGACAGUCCUCCUAGUCAGUCAAUGAUUAAAUUUCAGCGUGUGGCUCCUCACUGGCCAACUUUCAAUGCUUGUG
rnacentral:lncRNA from 1 species